rnacentral:misc_RNA from 1 species
AACCUUAUGGACCUGCGGGCGUAUACCUGCGGAAGGAUCAUUACAGAGUGUUCUACCCCCUUUGUAAAAAAAUGGUGGGUUUAACCUCCCGUCCUUUGCUGGACCCCUCUAAUUUUUAGGGGGGCCUUUCAAACCUUUUUUGCUUCGGCGGGGUAAACCCCGCCGGAACAUCCUCAAAAAACUCUUGGUCAAAAACCGGUUCAGUCCGAGAAACUUUGUGGAAAAAUUAGUGAAAAACUU